rnacentral:rRNA from 1 species
CAAGCUGUGAUGGGGAGGGAAAUAAUAGUACCGAAGUUCCUGAUGUCACACUGCCGAGAAAAGCUUCUAGUGAGAAAACAGCGGCCCGUACCGCAAACCGACACAGGUAGUCGAGGAGAGAAUCCUAAGGUGAGCGAGAGAACUCUCGUUAAGGAACUCGGCAAAAUGACCCCGUAACUUCGGGAGAAGGGGUGCUGAUCAUACGAUCAGCCGCAGUGAAUAGGCCCAAGCGACUGUUUAUCAAAAACACAGGUCUCUGCAAAAUCGUAAGAUGAAGUAUAGGGGCUGACGCCUGCCCGGUGCUGGAAGGUUAAGAGGAGUGCUUAGCGCAAGCGAAGGUACGAAUUGAAGCCCCAGUAAACGGCGGCCGUAACUAUAACGGUCCUAAGGUAGCGAAAUUCCUUGUCGGGUAAGUUCCGACCCGCACGAAAGGCGUAACGAUUUGGGCACUGUCUCAACGAGAGACUCGGUGAAAUUUUAGUACCUGUGAAGAUGCAGGUU